CCCUUAGAUGUUCUGGGCCGCACGCGCGCUACACUGAACAUAUCAGCUUGUUUUUCCCUUCCUGAGAAGGACGGGUAAACCCCUGAGCCAUGUUCAUGGUAGGGAUUGGGGCUUGCAAUUAUUCCCCACGAACCAGGAAUUCCUAGUAAGCGCAAGUCAACAGCUUGCGUUGAUUACGUCCCUGCCCUUUGUACACACCGCCCGUCGCUACUACUGAUUGGAUGUUUAAGCGAGGUUCUCGAACUGCUAGCGACUUAGCUUCGGUGAGGUCGCAGUGUGGGAAGUGAACCUAGCUUUGGUGUCUAGAGGAAGUAAAAGUCGUAACA
rnacentral:rRNA from 1 species